AGCUUUGUUUCUGUUCCUUUCUUCGUUGGCAGACUGGCCCCAAACUUUGCUUUUCUGCCAUAUCCUCUCCAGAGUUCUUGGUUCAGCCACGGAGCCUACCUUGAGCUCUGCCAGUGUCUCUGCUGUUCAGUGUGUGUUUGCACUCUUCCUGCCUGCUACCCUGCUGGGGAGUCUGUGCCAUAUACCAUAGUUUCUGAUUCAGUCACAGUAUAAGCUCAUUCCUUGUAACAGUUUGUCAAGAGUCCAUACAGGAAUAAGUCCCACUGCCUCCUUUCUUUCUGUUCAGGAUAGAACAUAAGACCUCCACAAAAUGUCCAGCAGGAGUGUUCUUGAAGCGCCCCUUCUGGCGGGAAUCUGACACUACACUGUUCUCUUACGCUGCUGCCUUUAGUGUGGGCCUCUAAGGGCUCCAUGGACAAGAUGCUCACUCAACUCUGGAGGUUUCAGGGGUCAGGCUUCCUAUGUGGUGAACAACCUCUCAGCAUUUUAUAAGUUCAACAUUGUGACACAAGAGGCCUAGGAAAUGCAGUCUAAUGGUUUGAUUAGGAAAAAGUGAACAGUCUUGUAGAUACAACUGUGACAAUAAGCAAACGAUAAACCUAGGUGUCAUGUGUCUUAAUAGACAUGUCUAGUAUAAUCCCACAUCCAGACAUGCUCCAGCCAUUGGCCUCUAAAGUUCUCCAUGGCAUGAUUUCUCACCUUGACUGGCAGACGUGCAAGAGGCUCUUAGGUAACGGUACCUUUCUGUGCCUUGACUGGGGUUGGGGUAUGUAUUUAUUGAAACCAUUCAUAUAGCACAGAUUUAAAUGACUCUUUUUACUUGCAAAUGCUCAUUGGAAAGAUUAAUAAAACCGAAUAGUGGCUAGGAGCGUGCUACAGUCUACAGUGAGAGGUUUGCUAAGUCCAGGGUAGACUGGAGGAGAGGAGAGGUGCAGUAAUGUGAAAAUGCAAAUACCAUGUAUGUCCUUUGGUGUCCUGGGUGGUUAGAACCCUGCUGGGGCACUAAAAGGAGGACACUAAAGUACCCUGUAUAAAUGUGUAGUGAUUACCCAUGUCCUCCUGUAGUUUACGUUAUCUCUAGAUGACUAGUAAUGCCAAACACAAGGUAAAGAAUACAUGCUUGUUAAGAUCAAG
rnacentral:lncRNA from 1 species